rnacentral:lncRNA from 1 species
UUCGACGAGGCUGCCAGCUACAGUUUUAAAGGGGAAACGAUUCGCCACAUCCAGACAUGGGAGCGAACGUUACAACUUGAAGACAGACAAGACACACUGUUGCGGAUAUAAGGAAAAAUAGCGAACAUAGCCUACUUUUAUUGUCACCGACCAAUACUUCUUGGAACUAUCUACCAGCUGAAUAAUACAGAAUCAAAUAAAGAAUUCCAACCACGGGUAGUUGGAGUCAAAGGCUGCCUGUCAGGGUCUUGUUGACCCCCCCGUUCCUCCGAU